UACGUAGGGACCGAGCGUUGUCCGGAAUCAUUGGGCGUAAAGAGCGUGUAGGCGGCUUGCUAAGUCUUGCGUGAAAUCUCGGGGCUCAACCCCGAGCGGUCGUGGGAAACUGGCAGGCUAGAGUGCGGGAGAGGAGAAUGGAAUUCCUGGUGUAGCGGUGAAAUGCGCAGAUAUCAGGAAGAACACCCGUGGCGAAAGCGGCUCACUGGACCCGAUCUGACACUGAGGUGCGAAAGCUAGGGUAGCAAACGGG
rnacentral:rRNA from 1 species